AUGGCCCUGGUGUCGGCGCAGCUGCUGCCCAACGACAUCCUCGCUUGCGCCCUCGGCCGUCUCGCGCCGCGCAGCCUCGCCGCGUGCCGCAGUGUCUGCAAGGCCUGGCGCGCCGUCAUCGACGACUACCGCCUGCUGCGGACGGGCCUCCUCCCGCUCUCGUUCCACGGGAUCUUCUUCAUGGAGGAGCUCUGCCUGGACCCACCAAAGCUCUUCGCAAACCCGUUCACAAAGCACAGGAUCGGGGACGCAAGCCUUGGUUAUGUCGAGAACGACGAGGGUUCAUUUAUCGAGAAUCACUGCAACGGGCUUCUCUUGCUUUGGAACCACCUCGUGGUCAACCCGGUGACUCGGCAAUGGGUGCGUCUGCCUCCGCCCCCGCCCUGGUGCACCGGGAUGGAGGACUUCGACAACGACGUGUGCCUUGUUUAUGACCCCACCGUGUCGCCGUACUACGACGUGCUCCAUAUUCCUUGCGUCCCCUACAGUCUUCUUGAUUGCGCAACAACAAUAUUCACGGAGGAAUCCGAGUGGCCGCCCUCCGCCUACGCAAUACAAGUCUUCUCUUCAAGGACAUGGAGAUGGGAGGAGAGGUCGUUGGCCCGGAGAGGAGAGGCUGCGGGGACCAUCGCCGACAUGGAGCCAUAUAGGGAUUUGUACACCGUUACGCCAUCUACUGGAAAGGAGCCAUCUAUGUGCAUUGUCAAAAUGACUCAUCUCACCGGACUAGUCUCUCUGUUUCACAACGUAGCUAGUGCAUAUUUAGUCUAG
rnacentral:rRNA from 1 species